CAUGCAAAUCCCUGUCACUGCUAGAUAUGUGUCCCUGCCCAGCUCCCAUCUCAAACAGGAGUGGCCCCAAACGCUGUGCUCCGUGUGGCAGAGAGUAGAAGAGACACACAGGAUGGCUGCUGCAGUUCCAGCCCUCAAAUCAGCACCCCAAAGAAAAGCAUCACUUCUGGAAGCUGGGCCAGAAGAUCGAAGAAGAAUGUUUCUUUGAUGCAUCUUAUUGACCAAAAUUGGGCCACAUGCCUGUUCCUGAGCCAUCACCAGGAAAGAAGUGGAAAAGCACAUUGCUCAGGGCCAGAGAGAGUGUCAGCUUUCCUCAAGGUAUCUGGACUGGUUAAGGAGCUCAGGUAUAUAAUUCUUCCUGCAGAAGGAUGUGGGCUGUGUUUGCAUGUGUAUGAGACCAGACUCUGCGGCUGCCCGUUUGUUUUGGUUGUCUUAAUGAUGAUCGUGGAUUGCUUCAGGACCGAUGGGUCUGCAGCCUCUGGACCCGUAAGAGAGAUGGCCCAAAUGAGCAAACGGGUUCAACUUAUGAUGGCACCUUACAGUUUUGAGGUCAAACUAGAUGUGACAUCUGUCACCUCUCUGUCACAAGAGCUUGACAUGUCUCUGCUUUUCCUCAUUGCUCAGGAUGCAUGCUUCCCGAGGCUGGACAUCUCAUCUUCCAUCACGAGGUGUCUAUGGAGCCCAGGAAAAGCCAGAGGAGCCUCAACAGCUGGAUGCUAUAAAUGCCUCAGUUUUGGCACUCAUCUUUCAAUCACUUCACUAAUCGUAUAUAGAAUAUUCAGGAAAAGGAUGUUUGCCAUGGAUGCAUCAUCUGCUUCCCAGCUCUGCAGUAUCUGA
rnacentral:lncRNA from 1 species